CGUGUGCUUACAAGUAGUCAGAGCCCGUUAAUGGGUGAUGGCGUGCCUUUUGUAGAAUGAACCGGCGAGUUACGAUUUGAUGCAAGGUUAAGCAGUAAAUGUGGAGCCGUAGCGAAAGCGAGUCUGAAUAGGGCGUUUAGUAUUUGGUCGUAGACCCGAAACCAGGUGAUCUACCCUUGGUCAGGUUGAAGUUCAGGUAACACUGAAUGGAGGACCGAACCGACUUACGUUGAAAAGUGAGCGGAUGAACUGAGGGUAGCGGAGAAAUUCCAAUCGAACCUGGAGAUAGCUGGUUCUCUCCGAAAUAGCUUUAGGGCUAGCCUCAAGUGAUGAUUAUUGGAGGUAGAGCACUGUUUGGACGAGGGGCCCCUCUCGG
rnacentral:rRNA from 1 species